rnacentral:misc_RNA from 1 species
CGCACUUCAUCUUUCCUGCCAAUUCGAGAUUCUAGCGGCGAGGCGCUUCAAUGGCCGGCUAAUAACUUCGCCAUUUUGCGACAAUUUGUGAUGAGUACAUUUUUCUUGUACUGUCCGAAUGUGUUUUAUCAUACACUCGAAAUUUUAAAAAGCAUCGUUAGUUAUCUCCCAUUGGAAAAAAUAACCAACAAUCAACGUUUCGCUAAAAAAUUAUGAUUUCGAGGUGUAACCCGAGGUGGUUGGAGAUGGUUAAGCGUGGUUAGUGGUGGUCAGGGUGAACGGGAGGGAGGACGAGGAAGACGAGGAGAACAAGGGGGACAAGGAGGACGAGGAUUUGUGCUCGGCAUAACCCGAGGUGAUUAUCGGUGGUUGUUGGAGGUGGUUGGCGGUGGUUAAAGGUGGUCGGAGGUGGACGAGGAGGAGGACGAGGAAGACGAGGAAAACAAGGUGGACGAGGAGGACGAGGAUUUG